AUUGAACGCUGGCGGCAGGCCUAACACAUGCAAGUCGAGCGAGCGGCGGACGGGUGAGUAAUGUCUGGGAAACUGCCUGAUGGAGGGGGAUAACUACUGGAAACGGUAGCUAAUACCGCAUACCAUCAGAUGUGCCCAGUUGUGAUUAGCUAGUGGGUGGGGGAACGGCCCACCUAGGCGACGAACCCUAGCUGGUCUGAGAGGUAGACCAGCCACACUGGAACUGAGACACGGUCCAGACUCCUACGGGAGGCAGCAGUGGGGAAUAUUGCACAAUGGGCGCAAGCCUGAUGCAGCCAUGCCGCGUGUGUGAAGAAGGCCUUCGGGUUGUAAAGUACUUUCAGCUGGGAGGCGUUACCCGCAGAAGAAGCACCGGCUAACUCCGUGCCAGCAGCCGCGGUAAUUC
rnacentral:rRNA from 1 species